rnacentral:rRNA from 1 species
CCUACGGGUGGCAGCAGUGAGGAAUAUUGGUCAAUGGACGACAGUCUGAACCAGCCAAGUAGCGUGAAGGAUGACUGCCCUAUGGGUUGUAAACUUCUUUUAUAUGGGAAUAAAAUGUUCCACGUGUGGGUUUUUGUAUGUACCAUAUGAAUAAGGAUCGGCUAACUCCGUGCCAGCAGCCGCGGUAAUACGGAGGAUCCGAGCGUUAUCCGGAUUUAUUGGGUUUAAAGGGUGCGUAGGUGGAUUGUUAAGUCAGUUGUGAAAGUUUGAGGCUCAACCUUAAAAUUGCAGUUGAUACUGGCAGUCUUGAGAACAGUAGAGGUAGGCGGAAUUCGUGGUGUAGCGGGGAAAUGCUUAGAUAGCACGAAGAACUCCGAUUGCGAAGGCAGCUCACUGAACUGCAACUGACACUGAGGCUCGAAAGUGUGGGUAUCAAACAGGAUUAGAUACCCGAGUAGUC